GGGACGUAGCUCAGCUGGGAGAGCGCCUGCUUUGCAAGCAGGAGGUCAGGGGUUCGAAUCCCCUCGUCUCCAC
rnacentral:tRNA from 1 species